GGAGAUGGCCAAGCAGGUAAGGCUCCAAAGUUUGGUUUUGGUAAUCACAGGUUCGAAUCCCGUUCUU
rnacentral:tRNA from 1 species